UGGGGAAUCUUGCGCAAUGGGCGAAAGCCUGACGCAGCAACGCCGCGUGAGGGAAGACGGCUUUCGGGUUGUAAACCUCUUUCAGGAGGGACGAAGCUUCCAGGGUUAAUAGCCCAUGGGGUGACGGUACCUCCAGAAGAAGCCCCGGCUAACUACGUGCCAGCAGCCGCGGUAAUACGUAGGGGGCGAGCGUUGUCCGGAUUUAUUGGGCGUAAAGCGCGUGUAGGCGGCUUGGCAAGUCUGGUGUGAAAACUUGGGGCUCAACUCCAAGCCUGCACCGGAAACUGCCUCGCUUGAGUCCGGGAGGGGAGAGCGGAAUUCCUAGUGUAGCGGUGAAAUGCGCAGAUAUUAGGAAGAACACCGGUGGCGAAGGCGGCUCUCUGGAACGGUACUGACGCUGAGACGCGAAAGCGUGGGGAGCGAACAGGAUUAGAUACCCCCGUAGUCC
rnacentral:rRNA from 1 species